rnacentral:rRNA from 1 species
ACUAGAGACUAGAUUUAAUAUGGCGCGCCGCAGGCGCGCGUUAAUUAAGUCUAGUUUCCAGUUACUAGACACUAGUUUCUAGAGCCUCGCGCUCGCGGAGUGGCCUAUCUCCGAUUAGCUAGUUGGUGAGGUAAAGGCUCACCAAGGCGACGAUCGGUAGCUGGUCUGAGAGGAUGAUCAGCCACACUGGGACUGAGACACGGCCCAG